UAACCCAAUGGGAUUGGUGUCCUUGUUA
rnacentral:piRNA from 1 species